GUGCUCCCUUCGGGGGCACAUAAACUGAAAUUGAAAUGAUGCAGAGAUUGGCAUGGCCUCUAUGACAGAAUGACAUAGAAAUCCAUGAUGAGUUGUGUAAUUUG
ensembl:snRNA U6 U6 spliceosomal RNA